rnacentral:tRNA from 1 species
GAGGGUAUAGCUCAGUGGUAGAGCAUGUGCUUAGCAUGCACGAGGUCCUGGGUUCAAUCCUCAGUACCUUCA